GACGAACGCUGGCGGCGUGCCUAACACAUGCAAGUUGAACGGGACCAGGGGGCAACUCUGGUUCAGUGGCGGACGGGUGCGUAACACGUGAGGAACAUGCCUAUCGGCGGGGGAUAGCCGGCCCAACGGCCGGGUAAUACCGCGUACGACCUUCAGGUGGCAUCAUCUGGGGGGUGAAAGCAGCAAUGCACCGAUAGAGUGCCUCGCGGCCUAUCAGCUAGNGGUGAGGUAAUGGCUCACCAAGGCGACGACGGGUAGCUGGUCUGAGAGGAUGACCAGCCACAUUGGGACUGAGACACGGCCCAGACUCCUACGGGAGGCAGCAGUGGGGAAUAUUGCGCAAUGGGCGAAAAGCCUGACGCAGCGACGCCGCGUGUGGGAUGACGGUCUUCGGAUUGUAAACCACUGUCGGGAGGGACGAAGCUCUGACGGUACCUCCAAAGGAGCACCGGCU
rnacentral:rRNA from 1 species